rnacentral:misc_RNA from 1 species
AAGUCGUAACAAGGUUUCCGUAGGUGAACCUGCGGAAGGAUCAUUGUGGAGUGUGGAGGGGAGAGAUGUUGGAAUGAAAUAUAGAUAUCACGUGACAAAUUAUUCUUAAUCAAAAUGACUAGCCACCUGGGAUCUCUGGGCUCUU